UACAAGAGAGAGAGACUGCGCUGACCGGUCAAGAGAAAAUCUACAAGAGACCUGAAUCAGCAGUGUUAUAAAGCACAUAGCCAACGCUAAUUAAUAAAGAAUUUAAGCAUAAUAGCCCAGACGUACCAUGGCCUAUAGCUGGUAGAAACGGAGCUAUCCUACGGCCUACAAGAUAAAAGCAUAUGGCACCAAAUUGGAAUCAGUAGUCUUUAAAAGAAUAAAUGGACUAGCAACUGUCUCUGGGGGAGCAGCCCCGGUUAGGUACUAUUAAGCAGCAUUUAGUGACAUGCAUCAAAACACAUUUUUUAAAACUUUGACAGAAUAAAGUCUUAGUUAUUUUAAUAAA